rnacentral:rRNA from 1 species
CGGCGCGAAACCGGAGCUAAUACCGGAUAAUAUUUCGAACCGCAGGUUCGAUAGUGAAAGAUGGCUUUGCUAUCACUUAUAGAUGGACCUGCGCCGUAUUAGCUAGUUGGUAAGGUAACGGCUUACCAAGGCAACGAUACGUAGCCGACCUGAGAGGGUGAUCGGCCACACUGGAACUGAGACACGGUCCAGACUCCUACGGGAGGCAGCAGUAGGGAAUCUUCCGCAAUGGGCGAAAGCCUGACGGAGCAACGCCGCGUGAGUGAUGAAGGUCUUCGGAUCGUAAAACUCUGUUAUUAGGGAAGAACAAACGUGUAAGUAACUGUGCACGUCUUGACGGUACCUAAUCAGAAAGCCACGGCUAACUACGUGCCAGCAGCCGCGGUAAUACGUAGGUGGCAAGCGUUAUCCGGAAUUAUUGGGCGUAAAGCGCGCGUAGGCGGUUUUUUAAGUCUGAUGUGAAAGCCCACGGCUCAACCGUGGAGGGUCAUUGGAAACUGGAAAACUUGAGUGCAGAAGAGGAAAGUGGAAUUCCAUGUGUAGCGGUGAAAUGCGCAGAGAUAUGGAGGAACACCAGUGGCGAAGGCGACUUUCUGGUCUGUAACUGACGCUGAUGUGCGAAAGCGUGGGGAUCAAACAGGAUUAGAUACCCUGGUAGUCCACGCCGUAAACGAUGAGUGCUAAGUGUUAGGGGGUUUCCGCCCCUUAGUGCUGCAGCUAACGCAUUAAGCACUCCGCCUGGGGAGUACGACCGCAAGGUUGAAACUCAAAGGAAUUGACGGGGACCCGCACAAGCGGGUGGAGCAUGGUGGUUUAAUUCGAAGCACGCGAGAACCUUACCAAAUCUUGACAUCCUUUGACCCUUCUAGAGAUAGAAGUUUCCCCUUCGGGGGACAAGUGACAGGUGGUGCAUGGUUGUCGUCAGCUCGUGUCGUGAGAUGUUGGGGUUAAGUCCCGCAACGGGCGCACCUAGCUUAGGUGCAUUCAUUAGUGGGCACUC